CUGGAUGUCACAACGGAUGGGAAGCCAGUGUAGAAAACGAAGUAGAGGGUGGCGUGGUCACGUGUCCUACUGUAAGCACCAGAUAAUAAUAGUAAAUGUGCAUUGAAGACUUUAGUUUCAAAGGUGGCGAAAACAAAAUCAUUGCUUCUGAGGAGCUUUGCAUGCAGAAUAUAUUUUCAGGUAGAAUUUCUUUUAUAUAUAACAUAUUUAUAACAACUAUAUUUACUGCUUAUCGUGAAAAUCAGUUUCUUCCUUUUUUCCCAAUAUAUUACAUAAACACAGAAAGUAAGAUAUAUCUAGUUUUCUUUUAAUUUACACCACAAUUUCUCUAUCAUCUGCCUGCCAUGUACAUUUUGACCAGGAUGAGACUAGCUGUAGUCCUUACACAUCAGUUCUGUACAUCUGUACACAAUUCUUGUCAGUAACAAACGGUAAUGCUUGUUACUUCCUUAUUUUAUUUGUACAAGAUACAUGUAUGUGUAUAUUUACACAUUCUGCUUCAGACAACAGACAUCUACUCUCUUGCCUCCCUCCCUCAUGCAUGUAUACAUAUCUACACACACACAACCACAACAUUCACCGCUAUUCACACACAUUAUUAUGUACAGUGUCAGUGAGCUUAGUAUACAAGUAGCCUCCCCUUGACAUCAACGUGUUACACAAUUACUGUCUAGUCACACACAACACAGACAUACUCUAAACACGUGAUAAACAGUUGUUGUUUAUUGGGAUUUAAAGUGAUAUUUGUGUUGCUGAUACUUCAUAAAAUACCUUGACAGGAAUUGACAGAAAAGCUGCUGACACAAGUUCCUCAUCUCCAUCUGUGGGCGGCAAGUUGUUACCAUGGAUACCCGCCGGCUGGCAAGUGGAAUAUUUAACCAGACCCCUCCGCUCUCCCCCGGCCGUCGUCAGGGAAGUGGAGGAAAACGGGAGUUUCACUAAAGUACCGUGAUGUCCUGCCGUACAGUGAGCGAGUUGUGCCCGACCACACAGACGGCCCGCCAGUCACACGACUGUAUCACCGAGGUCAAAGUCACUCUGGUGUCAGUCCAGUUAACUGCGUGACGUGCGGUCGUGACGUGGCCAGCUUCCUACACAGUCUCGGUGUUGGUGUUACAGGGCCACAACAACACCUCGCCAGUCUUCUGUUUCUGGGAUGUUCUCUCAAUGUAUGCCUGGUGCGAAGACGCUCUUUAAGAACAUGUCUGACAUGAUACAAUGGCGACAUUAUCGCAAGUUUUGAGAGCUAACCCUAAAAGGGACACAACCAGGCGAUGUCAGCAUCCUGACGAGAGCUGCAGUGGUGACGAUGUGCGAUGCUGGCUGAGACUAAAGUCGUCUGCCGCCCUCACAUCACGUGACUCAGGAUGCACUCAGUCCUCGUUUUCCAUAGUCUUACAUUUUACUGACAGUCGUGCGCUGUUUUCUACCACAGAAUCCUGUCAUUUCUCUCUACCUUCAGCCUUCCGUGUCCUGUCACCAUGCUCUGAUACUUCACACACUGAGACCUGUUUACUAACCUCCAGUGUGACGUCACAUAAGACAACUGUCAACAAUGUCUGGUCAUCAGCCGUGUGCUCAACAAAAGGGACAGCGCACUAAAGGAAAAGGAAUCAAACAUUAUUUUGGAGGUCGUGGCCGGGUGGAAGUCUACCUACACACCGUGACUGACCAACAGGCUGAGCUACUGACUGACACAGGUCUCAGUCAGUGUCGCAAAAGCAGUCUCUGAUGGAUGCUGCACAUGUGCUAAUGGCCAGAGUGGGCACUGUGGACAUAUUGUGGGCUUGCUCUACCAGCUUGCUCAUUUUAAGAUAACAGGAACAAACUAAAUUCCUGAGGUCAUCUUGACAAUGAAGAGGGAUGGUCUGAGACUAUUUCUAGGAUGCUGCAAAAACAUCACUGCCCCAGACAUGGCACAUCUCCAGAGGA